AGAUUUUUGAGCGUACUGUUUAGCGGCUUAAUAAACAGGCUGUUAUUACGCAACGAGACAUCGCCCUCGGCGGUAACCUGUUCACCAUCCAGCGGAAUAUCAAGAUGUAAGCGAGCAUUCACAUCGCCAUCUAAUUGUAGCUCCGCCAGCGUCGAGCCAAGCGAGUCUUUUAGCGGCGUCUCGUCGAAAUAAGGCCCAACGGCUUUUCCCGGCCCGUUAAUAUCGGCAUCAAUGAGCAGUUUCUCUUUGGAAUAAUCCGGAAUCGCCGCCGCGAGUUUGCUAGCCUUCACCCCGCCCAAAUCGACGCUAUCCGAACGCAUCCACAGGCCGUCGUUCAGGAAAUCCAGUUCAAUAUUGAGAUUUUUUAGCGCAGGCCAGUCGGGCUGAAAGGCAAACGUCGCAUUGCGUAGCGGCACC
rfam:Salmonella enterica subsp. arizonae serovar 62:z4,z23:--, complete genome.